rnacentral:snoRNA from 1 species
AAGACUACUUUCAGGGAUCAUUUCUUUAGUCUGGAACUAGAGGAUUGUGUUUCUACAGAGGUUGGUCUGGCUGUCCAUGAUGAUGAUGAUGAUGUUUCCUUCAGAGCAGGAAGCUGGUGAGAAGAUGAGAAUCUUCUUCACUGAUGAAGACUGUUCAGUGUUUCUGGAUGUGACACCGAAGGAGGAAACAUUGUCUGAGUG